rnacentral:piRNA from 1 species
UGGAACAACCUGGAAAAUGCUCCUCCAAU